UCGUUCGAGCGGAUACUAAAUAUAAAUCACAUUGACUUUUGGAUAUAAAUCGGCAAGUUAUAUUUCCAUUCCGCGAUCUUUUUCCACAUUUAACGAUAUUACACUACUUGGCUUAAGAAAUAUAUACAAUAAUAUAACUGCUGCAUUUACCAUGGAAUUCGAGGAAAGAGAGAAACGAAAUUGGGAAUUGGAAGAAAAUUUCCUGAUUACGUGCUACGUCAAUUUAUUUCUCUUAAUCAAACGGUAUAGGAUUAAAACAACGAUUUUAAUUAUCGAUCGAGUCACUUACAGACUGAAAUUGCCGUGGAAAUGUCAACAAUAAUGUUCUUUCCAUUCUUGGAACAUAUGCGACCAGCGAGUGAAACCGAGCCUGUGUUGUUAACGCACGGUCGGUUGCUUUUCGACGUGAAAUCUUUAAUGAAGAGCUGUAUUGAUUACACGGAACAAUGCAGCAUCGAUUGCUAAAAUUAACCGUCGCCACGCUCUUAAAGAAGAAAGGGAGAGAGAGAGAGUCUGCUAGGAGUGGCUCGGCUCGAUUUUAAACGACCAAUGAUUUAUUAUUACUUUUUAAUCACCGGCGUCUCUUUUCGUGGCAAUUCAAUCGUCGUUGCAAAUGGCAACACGCGAAGCGAGCAUUGGACGAGCCGCGAAAGUGUGCGCGAUAAUUUCGAGUGGCGCCCCACGAUGCCAACGCUUGUUCGCUUAAUUAAUGAUCAUUACGACGCAGCGAACCGUGUGCACCUCGCCACAUUUUUCCACCAGACGUCUCGAACGUACUUGUACCACUGUUUUCGAACCUUGUACGAAAAUAAUGUACGCGCGAAAUUAUCAUCUUUGAUUGCUCGAAUUAUCAAUUUUUUUUCUAAAUCACAAUUGAUGUAAAAAAGAAAAAGAAAAAGAAAAGCGAUAUAGAUUUCGACAUUUUCGUUCGAUUUUGAACUUUCACAAUCAAUUUCCGAGAUUGAGAAAAGGGAAAGUCGAAGAGGAACGAAAUUACGCUUCCUAUUUCCGCUCGUUCCCGGAGCGGGGAGAAAAUUGAUUUACUCUCGUUCACUUCGUGCCAAGGCCGCCAAUAAUUUCGAGCAGAUUAUUCGAGCGUUUCUUUCAUCUCUGAAAUGGUUGAUGAACGAACGAACGAACGUGUAUCGCAUUGCGAUUUCGAUUCGACCGGAUUAAAAACCGGAACGAAGCGAAGGCUGUUCGAGAUGAACGAGAUAAAUGAAUCAUGCGAGAAGUCGCUGUCCUCGAUCGAUGGUCGAUCAGCGUAACGAUACCAUCGAUACAAUUCUCGCGCACGAUGCGACGCGAACAUAGUCGACAAAUAGUUCAAAUGUUUUCAACCGUUUGGAUAUGUUAAGUUUGGCUACAUAUAUCAAAUUUUCAAGUAAAAAUUCAAUAACCAAAGACACAUCAGUACGACAUGAAUCGACCCCUCGGCUAUGAAAAUCCCAACGACGACAGGAACGCGAUACCACAGGAUGUUCGAUUGGAACCGACUCCAAACGUGGACACGGCUGUGAUGGAGAGAGGAAGAGGAUGCCGCCCCCGCCGCCGUCGUCGCCGCCGUCGUCGCUCGAGGAAGGGCAAGUGCAUUUGCAAACCGCGUAGAAGAAGGCGAAGGCUGAUCCUAUCCUCGAAUCCUUUCAUCAUCUUCUACCUGGAAAUGUACUUCAAGUCGCCCGGGGAGCGCGUGACGAAAGUGGCUCGCAAAGCCGGCAAGAUGUGGUGCGCCCUGCCGGAGAGUUCGAAAAGGAAAUACAUUCAGUUGGCGGAAAAGGCGAGGCGAAGAAGAAGAUAGGGAUAAACGAAAAGUCUGUCUAUUGGUGAUACCAAAGCUCGUGAUACGAACAAGAGGAUGGAACGGAUCCAGAGAACGAAGCUUCGACUCGAAAGCUUUUUCUCGAACGCGUUCGUGCGAAGAAAGCGAUGCGUGUUCCAAGACAAGUGGCGCAUUCCAAUCGAAAUGCUCGCGAAUCUUCGCGCGACGACGCAACAACAACAACAAUACCAAUUCAUAUUUAUCGUUAAAAUCGAAACACAAAGAAAUUCGUAUCGAGAAUCCAUUGUUCGACACUGUUGUCCCGUGUCCUGUGUGUAUCCACUCGUAAAAAAAAAAAACGCCUUUUGUACUGUAUGAGACAAAUAUACACUUGUUUUUAUAUAUAGGUACGUUAUAUUGCCAAGUUAUUGCGGAAAGGAAAAGGAGGGACGAGCGAAUAACGCGGGAAAGGUCUAAACAUGGAGGAAAAUAAAAAAAAAAUCGAUGAACACGCGUGUCGAUGUUGUUAACAUUGUGGCUGCGCUCCGUUAACAGGACCGCGUGCAUCAGAAAGAGAGAGAGAGAGAAAGAGAGAGAGAUGUAUUUUUACCAAAGGGCGACUAUUAAAGAGCGUGGAGCAGAGAGAAUCAGAAGCGCGUGUGCAGCUUACGGAAGCUCAAGGCCUGUAGCCUACCCUCUCGGUCACUAUGUUACCGCUUGAUCCUUGCGGGUUCGAACGAGGUCAAGGUCGUCAAGCAUGGCAACUUUAAGUGCUUCCACGAUUCAUCGAGUUCCAUCACUUUCCAACCAAGGAAAAUCGCGUUCUAACGCGCAAGAAAUAGGGCUCCGCGUUCCGCACACGUACACACAGGUGACAACAGCAGUGUAAACAAGGUACACACAACUUUAAACCGCCACCUAAGCGGAUUUGCUCGACAUCGAUGCUCGUUUCUCCCUAUAUCCGACCGUUAUAUAUAUAUAUAUAUAUAUCCGACCAUUCUUUCAAAAACGAAAACGUUCUUUCAUCCGUUGGAUUCUUCAAUAACAUCGCGCGCUUUUCAUCCCCACGUGAUAGCCUCGAUUGUUCGAGCUUAUCUGCGCGCGGCUUUUACGCGAGAACAUCGCGUGAUACGUGCUACUCGUUUAAUAUUCAACGAACGUUCCUUCUCAACGUUAGAUCAACGUUUGCGCGAUAUCAAAACUUUUGAUCGAAUAAAACAAUUUUUCCUUUACAAAAAAAAAAAAAAAGAAAGAAAGAAA